UCAAGUAAUUAAGUGCAUGUGGUGGAUGCCUUGGCAGUCAGAGGCGAUGAAAGACGUAAUAGCCUGCGAUAAGCUCCGGGGAGGCGGCAAAUAUCCUGUGAUCCGGAGAUUUCUGAAUGGGGAAACCCACCUGUCAUAAGGCAGGUAUCGUAUGAUGAAUACAUAGUCAUACGAGGCGAACGAGGGGAAGUGAAACAUCUCAGUACCCUUAGGAAAAGAAAUCAAUUGAGAUUCCCUUAGUAGCGGCGAGCGAACGGGGAAAAGCCCAUUAAGUUAUCUAAGUUCUAGUGGAAUGCUCUGGGAAGUGCAACCAUAGUGGGUGAUAGUCCUGUACACGAAAGGGCUUAGAUAAUGAUGUCGAGUAGGGCGAGGCACGUGAAACCUUGUCUGAAUAUGGGGGGACCAUCCUCCAAGGCUAAAUACUCCUGACUGACCGAUAGUGAACCAGUACCGUGAGGGAAAGGCGAAAAGAACCCCUGUGAGGGGAGUGAAAUAGAUCCUGAAACCGCAUGCAUACAAGCAGUGGGAGCCGGCAUUGUGUCCGGUGACUGCGUACCUUUUGUAUAAUGGGUCAGCGACUUAUAUUCAGUAGCGAGGUUAACCGAAUAGGGGAGCCGUAGAGAAAUCGAGUCUUAAUAGGGCGAAUUAGUUGCUGGGUAUAGACCCGAAACCAGGUGAUCUAUCCAUGAGCAGGUUGAAGGUUGGGUAACACUAACUGGAGGACCGAACCCACUGUCGUUGAAAAGCCAGGGGAUGACUUGUGGAUAGGGGUGAAAGGCUAAUCAAACUUGGUGAUAGCUGGUUCUCCCCGAAAGCUAUUUAGGUAGCGCCUCGGACGAAUACCAUUGGGGGUAGAGCACUGUUUCGGCUAGGGGGUCAUCCCGACUUACCAAACCGAUGCAAACUCCGAAUACCAAUGAGUACUAUCCGGGAGACAGACUGCGGGUGCUAACGUCCGUAGUCAAGAGGAAAACAAUCCAGACCGCCAGCUAAGGCCCCAAAAUUAUAGUUAAGUGGGAAACGAUGUGGGAAGGCAUAGACAGCUAGGAGGUUGGCUUAGAAGCAGCCACCCUUUAAAGAAAGCGUAAUAGCUCACUAGUCGAGUCGGCCUGCGCGGAAGAUGUAACGGGGCUAAAACUAUAUGCCGAAGCUGCGGAUUUGCAAUUUAUUGCAAGUGGUAGGGGAGCGUUCUGUAAGCCGAUGAAGGUGUAUUGAGAAGUAUGCUGGAGGUAUCAGAAGUGCGAAUGCUGACGUGAGUAACGACAAUGCGAGUGAAAAACUCGCACGCUGAAAGACCAAGGGUUCCAGUCCAACGUUAAUCGGGGCUGGGUGAGUCGACCCCUAAGGCGAGGCCGAGAGGCGUAGUCGAUGGGAAAUUGGUUAAUAUUCCAAUACUUCUGUGUAAUGCGAUGAGAGGACGGAGAAGGUUAAGUCAGCCUGGCGUUGGUUGUCCAGGUGAAAGGUUGUAGGCAUGUAUCUUAGGCAAAUCCGGGGUACUCUAUGCUGAGAACUGAUAGCAAGCUGUACUUGUACAGUGAAGUGGCUGAUACCAUGCUUCCAGGAAAAGUCUCUAAGCUUCAGUUACACAGGAAUCGUACCCGAAACCGACACAGGUGGUCAGGUCGAGUAGACCAAAGCGCUUGAGAGAACUCUGCUGAAGGAACUAGGCAAAAUGGUACCGUAACUUCGGGAGAAGGUACGCUGCCGACGGUGAUGGGAUUUACUCCCUGAGCGGUUGGCAGCCACAGAAACCAGGCCCCUGCAACUGUUUAUUAAAAACAUAGCACUCUGCAAACACGAAAGUGGACGUAUAGGGUGUGAUGCCUGCCCGGUGCUGGAAGGUUAAUUGAUGGGGUUAGCGUAAGCGAAGCUCUUGAUCGAAGCCCCAGUAAACGGCGGCCGUAACUAUAACGGUCCUAAGGUAGCGAAAUUCCUUGUCGGGUAAGUUCCGACCUGCACGA
rnacentral:rRNA from 1 species